rnacentral:rRNA from 1 species
UGGGGAAUAUUGGACAAUGGGGGAAACCCUGAUCCAGCCAUGCCGCGUGAGUGACGAAGGUCUUCGGAUUGUAAAACUCUUUUAGCAGGGAAGAUAAUGACGGUACCUGCAGAAUAAGCCCCGGCUAACUUCGUGCCAGCAGCCGCGGUAAUACGAAGGGGGCUAGCGUUGUUCGGAAUUACUGGGCGUAAAGCGCGCGUAGGCGGACUCUCAAGUCAGGGGUGAAAUCCCGAGGCUCAACCUCGGAACUGCCUUUGAUACUGUGAGUCUUGAGCUCGGAAGAGGUGGGUGGAAUUCCUAGUGUAGAGGUGAAAUUCGUAGAUAUUAGGAAGAACACCAGUGGCGAAGGCGGCCCACUGGUCCGAUGCUGACGCUGAGGUGCGAAAGCGUGGGGAGCAAACAGGAUUAGAUACCCUAGUAGUCCCUGAGCGGGCUGGCAAGGCGCAU